AUGAAGCUGCACACACAGAUCCUUGCGGUGGCUCCCCUCCCAGACCCCAGGCCAGGGUCCCGCCCUGCCCUGCCCUGCCCUGCCCUGCCCUCCCCUCCGGGGCCCCAUCUUACUCCAAGUCCCUCACUUCUCAGCGUCUCCCAACUUGCAGGGCAAAAAGCGAUUCUCCCAAAAGCCCGUCCCAGACUCCCGCCCCCUGUCACCGUCCCCUGGAAGGGGCAGGCCUGGCGCCCCAGGAGCGUGGAAGUGCCCGCCGGCUCCGUUCCCCUCCGAGCCUCCCUGGGGACACGUCCUCUGCUUUUGUUUGGGUUCGUCUUCUUCCCCUUGGGAUGCAGGGGUUCCGAGACGAAGUUUCCGGUUCGGCAGCAGCCGGGGGCGGCCCAUCCCCCACGGCCCUGGGGAGCGCGAGCAGCCUCCGGCCCGGGGCCCAGCCCGCCGCCCGCCCGCCCGCCCGGCCCGGCCGCCCCCGCCCCGCCCCGCCCCGCCCCGCCCCGAGGGCUUCCCCGCGGCGCCCCCGCCCCGCCCCGCCCCGCCCCCACCCCGCGCCCCGGGCAGGAACGGCCCUCCGCGCCUCGGCUCCGGAGGGGAGCGCCCGGGAGCCGGCGGGCCCGGGCUCCACUCACCCCUCAGCCCGGGAGGCGGGGGAGCUGCUGCGGCGGCUCCUCGGGCGGCGCCUUCCUCCCCCCUCCCGGCUCCGCCUCCGGCCUGCUCCCGGCCGGCCCCGGCCCCGCGCCGCUGCACCGCGUCCCCCGCUCCGGCCGCCGGGGCCCAGUGUCCUGCCUUGACCCGGAAGCAGCUCUCACGGCCCCACAACAACACGUGACCCCGCCGCACGUGUCACGUCCGCUGCGUGCAGGGGAGGGGGGCCCGGGGGAGCGCGGCCGCCGCCGUCGGCCUCGGGUUGCCAUGGCGACGGGGCGGGGCACCUGCCCUUGCCCUCGGCCUCGCGGAGGGGCGCCCUCGGCGCCAAGGAGGGGUGAACCGCCCCAGCAGGGUGAGGUAGGGGCGAGCGGCGCGGAGCCUGGGCGGCCGAGAGGCAGCUGCCUUCCACUCGGGGCGUUGGCCCGACCCUCCGCGGGCUCACCUGCCUCUGUCGACCCCGAUCAGCUCACCCCCCGCCUCUGCCUGCGGUUUCCUCGCGAGGAGCACCUUCUAGGUACUGGGCCCUGUGCGUCGGCUCUUUCUAAGUUUUACAACUUGCAAGAGUGA
rnacentral:lncRNA from 1 species